rnacentral:rRNA from 1 species
UAGGGAAUCUUCCACAAUGGACGCAAGUCUGAUGGAGCAACGCCGCGUGAGUGAAGAAGGUUUUCGGAUCGUAAAGCUCUGUUGUUGGUGAAGAAGGAUAGAGGUAGUAACUGGCCUUUAUUUGACGGUAAUCAACCAGAAAGUCACGGCUAACUACGUGCCAGCAGCCGCGGUAAUACGUAGGUGGCAAGCGUUGUCCGGAUUUAUUGGGCGUAAAGCGAGCGCAGGCGGAAGAAUAAGUCUGAUGUGAAAGCCCUCGGCUUAACCGAGGGACUGCAUCGGAAACUGUUUUUCUUGAGUGCAGAAGAGGAGAGUGGAAUUCCAUGUGUAGCGGUGGAAUGCGUAGAUAUAUGGAAGAACACCAGUGGCGAAGGCGACUCUCUGGUCUGCAACUGACGCGGAGGCUCGAAAGCAUGGGUAGCGAACAGG